rnacentral:rRNA from 1 species
UACGGAGGGGGCUAGCGUUGUUCGGAAUUACUGGGCGUAAAGCGCACGUAGGCGGCUUUGUAAGUUAGAGGUGAAAGCCCAGGGCUCAACCCUGGAAUUGCCUUUAAGACUGCAUCGCUUGAAUUGUGGAGAGGUAAGUGGAAUUCCGAGUGUAGAGGUGAAAUUCGUAGAUAUUCGGAAGAACACCAGUGGCGAAGGCGGCUCACUGGACUGGUAUUGACGCUGAGGUGCGAAAGCGUGGGGAGCAAACAGG